UACGUAGGGAGCAAGCGUUGUUCGGAUUUACUGGGCGUAAAGGGCGCGUAGGCGGCGCGGUAAGUCACUUGUGAAAUCUCUGAGCUUAACUCAGAACGGCCAAGUGAUACUGCAGUGCUAGAGUGCAGAAAGGGCAAUCGGAAUUCUUGGUGUAGCGGUGAAAUGCGCAGAUAUCGGGAGGAACACCAAUGGCGAAGGCAGCUCGCUGGGACGUUACUGACGCUGAGACGCGAAAGCGUGGGGAGCAAACAGG
rnacentral:rRNA from 1 species